UUUAUUUGAUUUUGUGUUGUGUGUGUUUGAUUAAAUUCAAUAAGAACAGUUUGAAUUUGAAAGUUGAACUGAUCACACACAGACUGUUAAGAGUGUGUUGUGUUGGUUGUCAUCGUCAUUAUUUUCGUUCGUUCGUACUUUGUCACUAGUGGCGUAUAAGUGUUGUUGAUUAUUUUUUGUGAAAAAAAUCUAAUACAAUUUACGCGCGCGUAAACUGUUUUACUUACUAAAAAGAAAGUAAUUAAAAAUAGCAGGCGUAUUUUGUGAAGAUUUAAAAAAUUGAUUAAAUUAUAAAAAAAUAUAUAUUUUUAGUGGCGAAUAAAUGUUAAAAAUAUAUUAAAAUAAAUACACAAAAAAAUACAAAUAUAUUUAAAAGAAAAAUUAAAAAUAAAUGAAAAUUUUCAAAUAAAACAAAAAUUAAUAAAAGUGUUGACAUAAUUUGAUUAAUAGUGCAGUUUUAUAUUUAGUGUAAUUAUUGUUGCUGUAAUAUUUUAAUGUGACAUUUGAAAUAAAUUAAAAACGUUUCUUUUUUUGCCAACCUUAGGUUUAUUGGAAAACCAAUAAAGGAUAAUCUAGUCUUCUUUGAACAUAUUGUGAUAUUUUCUUUUUUAUUUCCAAUGAUUGUGUUUGUGAAAAUUGUAAAAUAAUCAUUAAGAAUUUUUGUCACAAAACUUGAUCACAUAAUAAAAUGGUGAAAAUGCUUGACAUGGAUCGUCAUGCUGAUUGCCCCUUAUGGGAGGCAUUAGCUUCAAAAGAAGUUCCUUGGACUGGCAUGCGUUAUGCUUGUCUAAACGUUUUACAGGCCUAUUGUAAAGUGUUCGAUAAAAAAGAAAUUUAUGAUCUCAUUGUAAG